AAUUAGAUAACGAUAUUUUUGACGGCGCUAUGUUACACCGGUGUUGGAAGGCAUAGUUAGUUGAAUAAUUAUAAUUAACCACAACACUAAUAUCAAAAAAUUAUUGCAACCAAAAAAGUUAGUAUUUAGCCAUGUACAACGGUUCUUCUCCAACUCCCUUAUAGUUUGCAGAUUUACAACUGGGGCCUUGUCUCAUUCCUUACACACAAAGUAAUGCCAACUAAUGUCCAAUCAAGCACUACACACUUGUCCAUUGUACCGCUCACAUGAUUACAAGUGGAGCCUUGCAUGCGCAUGCAACCAUGCAUGCCAGCCACCUGCUUCAUUUUACCAAACCGACAUAGCAUCCUCCACUACUAUAAAUAGCAGCCUGCACCUUUCACCUUUCACUUCCUCUACUGCACACAACACGCACAAGAGAGAGAACCGAGCUCUUCCCACCAUCCCCAUCCACUCUUUUGGUCGAAUGCUGAGUUGCGAUCAGGUACUAUUCAAGUACCUUGCUUUUGCAGCUCUGUUUGCUUGAUGCUUGGCACCUUGAUCCAUCUUUACCUUUGCUUAGAACAUGAACACCUGAUCUUCUGGACUCUAGUUACCUUGCUGUAAAAAGAGAAACAAUAGUUAGUGAAAGAAAGAAAAAACAUAAAGUAGAUGGAGGAAAACAAAGACAUUGCAGUUCUGUGAUUCAUGUGUAGCUGUAAAAGAAAAACUAUGUGUGUGUUCAUCUCUACCUUGUAUUAGAUCUGACAUGCUAAGAACUAAAUCUUAGAAAUUAACCCAUUAUUAAGAUUGCAUGUGUAGCGUUGGGGCCAAACAAUCUGUGUAUGCUACUUGACCACUGUCAUUUUCAGUUAACAUUGGUUGGUUAAUAUUCUGUUAAGAAAUAAAUCUCAAGAUGGUAUGUCUCACUUGCACAUACCCUGUACCGGAAAAUAACCCAUUUAACUUUUGCACAAAUGAAAUCUUGCUAGAAUAUCUCACUCACUUUUUCCGGUUUCCCUUAGUAUAAUUUGAGUCUAUCAAUGUUGCUGUUCACUUGGUUGUUUGUGGGGUUCAGAGAGGAGUGUGCGCGCACACACAGUAGGAAUACUUAGAUUUAAUUUGUGGCAGCACCUAACCAUCACAAGCAAUUAACUUGCCACUCAUAGAUUUGUAGUAAGCCUUUAACAGUGGGGAUUCACUGGUUAAUUCCUAGUCUUGAGCUUAAUAAAAAGAAUCAUAGUAGUGUGAGGAUAGUAUAGUAGAGCUAAAAAUUAAAAUAAACAUUAUGGAACAAAUCUGUAGACCACGUCCACACCAUAGAAUAGAUGUUGAUUAAUAUGAAAUUUAGAUUAACAAUGAGAAACAUGGUAGUAUGGCUGUAUGGGGAUAAUGCAGUAGCGCCAAAGAUAAAUUCAACAAUAUGGAUAAACUUGGACACCAUUCUCACGAGCUAGCAAGGAUUUGUGGAUAGAUGAAGAGCACUUGCAGAGAGAGAGAGAGAGAGAGAGAGAGAGAGAGAGAGAGAGAGAGAGAGAGAGAGCUUACAGUGGUAGCAGUAGAUGAAGGAGUCAAACACCGAUAGCGGCAUGUUGCCGAAGCUGCGCCAGUGAAGCCGCUCGCGCCCGACGGCCGUGGUUGCACGCCUCGUGCGUGUGGCUGCACUGGUGGAGGGCAUAGGCAGGUAGAUGUCGUUGCCGCCGCGGGCGGUGGCGAACCCACCGGACCCGAGGCAGGCGGCGCUGGGGUUAGAUGGUGGCGACGAUUUAGGCGGCGGUGGAUCAAAUAAAUGGGGGGAUAUGGUAGAGGGAGUCGAGGGGAUUCUGUGGGUGUCCGCGGUGUCACCGGAGAUGGCCGGAAGUGGCAGAUCGAGCCGGCGGCGGCCUGCUCUGUAGUUAGGGAGAGAGAGAUGGAGUUGGUUCUGUUCGUGGCUGAGCAUACCGAGAGUGAGAGAGAGGAAGAGAGCUGGGGAAGAUGACUAGUUGAAUUAAAAAAAAAAGAUAUUUCUGCCGGUGUUGGGUUCGACCAGCUAAACACGUUUUUUUCCUUUUAGCUUGCUUGCUCGCUUUGGUGAUGUGCACGUGCGUACUACUUCUUGAUGUGCUGUAUGCAUUUUGCUUCUAAUUACACACUAGCACGUAUCAUUACCUCUUUAAUUAAAAUGGAUUGCACCGUAUGGAAGUGUUGCUUGAUGCUUGGAUCUUGAUUAGGGAAAAUAUAAACUUCUUUCUGAAAUAAUUAUCAGGAGUCAAUCUCGGACCCAUAGGACCCACAUCUGGUGGUUCCGAGUUGGUCGGAGCGCUACCCGGCAAGUCGUCAUCUCCUUGACCAUGUCUUGAUAAAUGUUUUCCGGGCUAUGAGUCAUUUCCAAAAUUUUGCAUAAGAAUUUAAAAUAAAUAUUUUUCAUAAAUAAAAUGAAAUUGGAUCAGGUGGAUCCACUGAUUUGGCAAUUGGACCAGAUCAGGUGAAGCAUCUGUAUUAAGUAGUUGUGACCCGGGUAGGGUUACAAUAUAAAAUAAAUAUUUGGUGGGUAGGGGAGCUCAUGUUGGUGAAAGCAACCCUGGGAGGGCCAGCUUGGAUGGCGGGCUCCUCUACAUAGGGUAUCACAUUAGGACACAACUAACUGGCGCUUUCUUCAAAAGCGGCGCAAACCGUACUGACCAUAGACCUGGAAUGGGACGGGCUGAACCAACUACCCAUGCCAAGUAGCUGCCUCUGCAUGGGUGAGAAGGUGGCUGUAGCCGGGUAGGUACAGUCACCCUAGGGCGGGACCGCCGGUCAGGGGUCUCGACCCGCGGGCCUUUAGUAAGGCAAGGUGGAAAAGCAGAGGUAGUGUACGGGCUGGUUAAAGAUUCUGGUUCCUUGGUCUAGUCGUGUGCACGGGUAGCGCAUGGACGACUUGGACCAAGUGAUGCUAUGGCAAAGCAAUACACCUCUGAUCAGAGUAAAUGUGAUAUCACUCCCAGCUUCCGGGUUUGGAAGUGCGUCGUGUGGGUUUUUCUCUAACACAGGAUGUAAGAUCCCACGUCGCUCUGUCGCCAGUAGAUUUUAUAAAUAAAAUUUGGUUUCCAACAAAAAGGGUUAAGGGAAAAUAUUUUUUACCUACAAAGUAUUUUUGAGCUAAUGGCUCGUUUGGUUGUAGCCGUGGCCGAUAAAGUUUUCCUCUUUAAAGACUCAUGCAUCCACUUUUCCCGGCGACUUGCGGAGUACGUAUUUUAUACGUACUCAGCUGCACUUAUGUUGUUUUUCAGAACAAGAGAGUUAUGAGAACUCUGAGGCGAUAGAGAAUGGUACUUAUGAUGAGUCUGGUCAUCUUAAUGACUUCGGUUAUUCUGAAGUGGAGUAUGUUUAUGAGGAAGUCGACAAUCAAGGCUAUGAAGAGUAGAUGCCCUCCAUGGUUGGUCUAGAAGGUUCGUAACUAGAAGUAGAUGACGAUCUAUCGUCAUGGUCGCUUAGGCUUAGUCGACACUUGAGGUGUCAAUGUAAUAAAAGCUUGCCUACUCAUGGCAGCUGCACCGUCUUGUACAUGAUACUGUUCUCCUUAACUGAUCCUGGCGCAACUCUGAAGUGACGGCUUCCGUUAUGCCUGACUCUAUCGGACGUAACGGGGCGU
rnacentral:lncRNA from 1 species